AGGAAUAUUGGUCAAUGGGCGUAAGCCUGAACCAGCCAAGUAGUGUGAGGGAAGACUGCCCUAUGGGUUGUAAACCUCUUUUGUGCGGGGAUAAAGUGUGGGACGUGUCCCAUAUUGCAGGUACCGCACGAAUAAGGACCGGCUAAUUCCGUGCCAGCAGCCGCGGUAAUACGGAAGGUCCGGGCGUUAUCCGGAUUUAUUGGGUUUAAAGGGAGCGCAGGCCGUCCUUUAAGCGUGCUGUGAAAUGCCGCGGCUCAACCGUGGCACUGCAGCGCGAACUGGAGGACUUGAGUACGCACGAGGUAGGCGGAAUUCGUGGUGUAGCGGUGAAAUGCUUAGAUAUCACGAAGAACUCCGAUUGCGAAGGCAGCUUACCGGAGCGCAACUGACGCUGAGGCUCGAAAGCGCGGGUAUCGAACAGGAUUAGAUACCCUGGUAGUCCGCGCGGUAAACGAUGGAUGCCCGCCGUUGGGAUUUGGAUUUCAGCGGCCAAGCGAAAGCGUUAAGCAUCCCACCUGGGGAGUACGCCGGCAACGGUGAAACUCAAAGGAAUUGACGGGGGCCCGCACAAGCGGAGGAACAUGUGGUUUAAUUCGAUGAUACGCGAGGAACCUUACCCGGGCUUGAAUUGCAGGAGAACGAUCCAGAGAUGGUGAGGCCCUUCGGGGCUCCUGUGAAGGUGCUGCAUGGUUGUCGUCAGCUCGUGCCGUGAGGUGUCGGCUCAAGUGCCAUAACGAGCGCAACCCCUGUCCAUAGUUGCCAUCAGGUCGUGCUGGGCACUCUGUGGAGACUGCCGCCGUAAGGUGUGAGGAAGGUGGGGAUGACGUCAAAUCAGCACGGCCCUUACGUCCGGGGCUACACACGUGUUACAAUGGGGCAUACAGCGAGUUGGAUGUGCGCAAGUACGUCCGGAUCAAUAAAGUGCCUCUCAGUUCGGACUGGGGUCUGCAACCCGACCCCACGAAGCUGGAUUCGCUAGUAAUCGCGCAUCAGCCAUGGCGCGGUGAAUACGUUCCCG
rnacentral:rRNA from 1 species